AUAUAAGUGUGGCCUUGGGUAAAUAAGAAGGUGUCUUUUUCUUGGAAAGUCUUCUUCUUCAUCAACUCUUUUUUCUGCAUUUAUCCCUCAACAGUACUGCUCACACAUCACACACACACGCACACACACUGAACAUUAUGUGUGAUUAGACAGGCAUAUAUAUGCAUAUAUAGCAGAAAAACGUUCCAAUUAUAUUGGAAUAAUGGGAUUUCUGAAAGAUGAAGGCGUGGUUUACAAGCCCGUUGACAGUGUUGAUCUUGGCCCUGACAGCAAGGAAGUUUAUCUCCGAGCCAAUGUUAAAGCACCUCGAAUGGCUGGCUUUCUAGUUAAAGUUUUUGCUUGGCUCUUGGAGUCGAGAAUUUUUGGAGCUCUUAUGUUAUACAUCCUCAAGAGAAACAAUCUGAUUCAUAAGCUAGUUUCAUUUGCGGAGUUGCAAGAAUCACCUCUUUUUGUGCCAUUGCACCCUCAUGAAGGGCAUGGUGAAGAAGAAAAAUGCACCAAGCCUGAUCAUCUUUCUCCUGUGGAACAAGUUCAAUUGGCUACUGAUUGUCUUCAAACUUCAGAGGAAAUGAAUAAAAUUAAUCCAAAACUUAGUUUUCAACGCUGGACAAUACUGGAUUAUUCAAGAAGAUAUAUGUCUCAAGAAGUAACUCCUGUCAUGGUAGCAAAGAAGUUUAUAGCAGCUGUGAUUGAAUCAUCCAAGCCUUUACGACCUAUGUCAUUCUUUAUUGAUUUCAAUCCUGAAGAUAUAUUACAACAAGCUACCGAAUCAACUCAUCGGUAUGAACGAGGUGAGCCAAUAUCUGUUCUAGAUGGAGUUCUGAUUGCCAUUAAAGAUGAAAUAGAUUGUCUACCAUAUCCAACCACAGGAGGUACAAAGUGGCUGCACAAAGUAAGACCGUGCAUUGAAGAUGCCUGCUGUGUUAAACGCCUAAGGUCAUGUGGUGCCAUUCUGGUCGGGAAAACAAACAUGCAUGAGCUUGGAGCUGGAACCAGUGGGAUAAAUCCUCAUUAUGGGACAACACGAAAUCCAUAUGACAGCAGCAGAAUUGCUGGUGGUUCUUCUAGUGGAUCUGCUGCUGUGGUAUGUGCAGGACUAUGCCCUGUUGCUCUUGGUGUUGAUGGAGGAGGAUCCGUACGAAUGCCGGCUGCUCUCUGCGGUGUUGUUGGUCUCAAGCCAACAUUUGGACGUAUACCACACUCGGGUGUUCUCCCUCUGAACUGGACAGUUGGGAUGGUUGGGAUACUAACUGGUACAAUUGAAGAUGCACUUAUAGUGUAUGGAGCUAUCAGUGGCCCAAUAUCAUCAGAUCAAUCUGCUCAAGUAAUGGUAUGUGGAGAUAUUACUUCACAUUCAGAUGCGGAGCCUAAAGUAUACUUUCCAUUACUUAAGGCACCAGAGAGCAGAUCUGACAUCAAACUGGCAAAAUAUGGAGAGUGGUUCAAUGACUGCACUGAUGACAUAAGAGUCUGCUGUUCAAAAGCUUUGGACAAAUUAUUUGAUCUCUAUGGUUGGAAGACGAUAGAGGUUACCAUGCCAGAGAUAGAGGUGAUGCGUCUAGCACAUUACUUGACCAUUGGCUCUGAAUGUAGUACUUCAAUUGCUUGUCAUCUGGAAAAGUUGGAUAUGGCAGAAUUGGGAUGGGAUGCUAGGGUAGCACUUUCCGUCUAUGGUGCCUUCAACAGCAGGGAGUACUUGAACGCCCAGAUGAUUAGGAACCGGCAGCUGCAGUUUUACAUGAAAAUAUUUGCCAAGGCAGAUGUCAUAGUUACCCCGACAACUGGUGUAACAGCAUAUCCAAUAAAGGAUGAUGCUUUGAAGACUGGAGAGUUGGAUUACAUAAAUGGAGCUGCACUAGUUCGAUAUCAGAUAGCAGGGAACUUUUUGGGAUUGCCGGCAGUGACUGUUCCAGUUGGAUAUGAUAAAUCAGGAUUGCCAAUUGGUCUUCAAUUCAUCGGGAAGCCAUGGUCCGAAUCUCUGUUAAUCCAUGUAGCCUUCGCAAUGCAAGCACCAUGCAUAUCAGAUUACAGAAGGCCAGAAAUUUUCUAUGAUUUGCUAAGCAAGGAUUAAGUCAUUGACAGAAUUCUACAUGUACUGGCCUUCUCAUUUCCAGGAGAUUAAAGAAGUAUUACCAAGAUAAAAGCAGUAAAGGACAGCUUUAGCCCCAUUGUUCUCAAGGUCUCAAGAAAAUGAAAUCUCACAUGCCCGAGACGCUCUAGCAAUGUUGGAUAUUUGUUCGAUUGUCUUGCUCUAAGAAGCUUCCAUGUAGUGAUCACUCGCUUUACAUGUGUCCACGGAUUUCAGGGAUUGGUCAUUUCUUCAAGAAAUACUUGGUACAAGGCUCGAUGGGAUUGUGUUUUGUACAGUUCUGUCCGAUUGUUAUUUUUUGGUGUAUAAAUAUUAUAAUGUUGUAUAAAUAUAUGUCAAGUAUUUUAUUUUAUGUACA